CAUUAUUGAAAUAAACCUGAUGGGGUUGUUGCUGGCUCUCUAGGGAGCAUGUGCACGCCUUGUCAUCUUUAUAUCUCCACCUGUGCACCUUUUGUAGACCUGAAAUGGUCUAUGUUGCUUCAUUUGCUCCAAUGUAUGUUAAUAGAAUGUUGUGCCUUUAUAUUAUAUACAACUUUCAGCAACGGAUCUCUUGGCUCUCGCAUCGAUGAAGAACGCAGCGAAAUGCGAUAAGUAAUGUGAAUUGCAGAAUUCAGUGAAUCAUCGAAUCUUUGAACGCACCUUGCGCUCCUUGGUAUUCCGAGGAGCAUGCCUGUUUGAGUGUCAUUAAUAUAUUAUCAAGCCUUCUCUUGUAGAGAGUGGGGUUUGGAUGUGGGGGUUUGCUGGCCUCUUUAAAGGUUCAGCUCUCCUGAAAUGCAUUAGCGGAACAACCUUGUUCAUUGGUGUGAUAAACUAUCUACGCUAUUGAAUAUUGAGAGGGGCAGUUUCAGCUUUCUAACAGUCCUUGGGACAACUCAUUGUUAAUGUGACCUCAAAUCAGGUAGGACUACCCGCUGAACUUAAGCAUAUCAAUA
rnacentral:rRNA from 1 species